UUUAUUUGACUUUGAAAUUACAUUUAGCGUUGAUUUUGAAGGGAGAGGGAAAAUCGUGUGAAAUAAGAUGAUUCCUGAUCUCAAGAUUUAGUGUUUUACCUGUAUUUUUGGUAGUUUUCGGUUAACUCUGUGUAGUUUUGAGUCGCUGAUUUAGCGUAUUUAAUAUUUACCGUAAUUCGAGUUUUUAACGGUACUUCACACAACGUAAGACUUGUGUUUCAUAUUAGAUGGUAGUUUUCCAAAUUAAAAUGGUAUUUGCAACCAAAGUUUUGUUCUUUGUAGAUUAGUUUAAAGUGCAAAGUAAGGUUAAGUCAUGGAAUUGUUUUUUUUUGACACAGAGUAAGGUGCGUUCGGAAACGCGUAAACUUUAGUAGUGUUUUCUUAAGUUCGUAACGAGUUCAGCGUUUAUAAAAACGCUCGUUUUGGAAAAUCAUUUUGUAAUUUGUUUAAAUAUUGAUAUUUAUUUAGUUAAAUACAAUAUAGUUUUGGUUUAUAACGUUACGAGAUUUGGUUUUUUAGUACUCAAAUUUAAUGAGAUAUAUUAAUUUGAAGUAGUUUUUUUAUUUAGACCUUAUUUCGCCAAGAAUACAGUUUGUAAUCUCGGUUUGAGAAUUGGCGGGAAUUUCGAAUAAGGCUGGCAUGUUUAGAAUUUUGACACAAGUUUUGGUAGGUUUUCAAGAAGGUGGUAUUUUCCAAGGCCUCGCCUACACAAGAACGUUUUGUUUCACGGUUGUCUCGUAUGGAGUGUUGGAUAUUAUGGUAAAAUAUCCAAUCACGACUUUAUGCACGGUACGUGGUGAACAGCACUGACUGUAUUCACUACUAAUUUUGUUGCGGGGAUGGAAGAACGGGAUUUGUAAUGCGUGAAGUAUGGUAGGGGCGACAGAUGAGAUAUGAACGGUAUGGUAAAGUGCGUGAUGUAUAAAUGGGGCGAAACAACUUGCUCACUUUUAAGGUCAGAGCGAGUCCUUAACAUAGCCAAAGGUUUGGAUUUCGGUAGUAGGUUUCGAGUGCUUACCACACUCGAGCACGGUUUUGUGCAAUUUUGCGUAUUUGUGGCUACGCAUUUGGUCGGUAUGGGGUUCAUACCCAGCAGUUACCAUUUUUGAGGGGCUGUUUUAAAUUGGGUUCUUGCUUUUUUGGACAUAUCGACCGCGGUACCCCUUUUGGUUUGGUACCUUUUGUUUAUCGUGUUGACGAUCCAAUGAGCCAUUUUUGAAGGCAUUGGAACGGCACUCGGUGUCUCCGCCACCUUUUUCAUGCCUGCUACCGCAAUGCAACUCAGUCAAAUGGUUGUAGUUUUUUCAGUUUAGUAUGGUUUUAGAGUUUAGGGGAGUUAUCCUUGGACGCACGACCCCUCGUCUUGUACCAGUCGUCGUGCCGCCAAGGACGACAAACCACUCACCUGCUAUAUACCUCGUUUUUGUUUAGGUAUACCAUUUUUUUUGUUUUGGUUUUUGAUUCCGGAGAGUUGGGGGGACAGGUGUGCCUCACCAACUCAAAGGGCCGUUUUGGAUUUUUUGGGUUUAAUUUGAUGAUUGUUGUCUACCUGAAGGGUUGGGACAGGCCUUAGUGUCCUCAACCGGUAGGGUUACAACAAAGGUUUUCGUUGGAAGCUUAUAUUUGGUGGACUAUAGGUCUGAUUUCCGCCCGGUCUAGCUGAGUUUUUUUUAGGAAUGCUGAACAUCGGUCCUGGCGGUUGGUUUUUGGCUUUCUCAGCACAACAAGCUUUUAUCGCGUUGUACUGAGAAGGCCAACGGUUUGUUUACGGGUUGGAAGGAUAGACUGAGGUUUUUUUUCUAUGUGCAGCGCAGUUGGCCGCAUAGUUUUUUUUCACCUUCCGUGGUACUGACGUGGGUUCGAGAUUAUUAUUUAGAUUUUUUUUGUUCGGUCAGAACAGCAGUAUUUUUAAAUUGUUUAACGUUAGUAUGAUUUUACUUUUAGAUUAUUUUAGAGCAUUUUUGGUAUGUUUUGAAUCUCGAAGUUGCGUCAGACUUUUUGUUUAGAUUCUAGGUUUUCUAGAUCAGUUUGAAUAGGUUAGUUUUCUUGCCUUCACUUUGUUUUAAAUUUUGUUUUAGGAUGAAAGUCGCUGAGGACAGCGAGCGGUUCACCUACGUUGAACCUUAAAAUCGGGGAGGGGGGUAUUGUAACGUAGACAUUUUCUUAGAUUUUAAAUUAAUAUUUUUGGGUUGAAUUCCUUUUCUUAUUUCAACGAUUUUAACAAUAUCCCAAACUAACUCGAUUGAUUGCACUUCUUUGCAUAAUCUGUUGCAUUCAGAUGCACCUUUUGAUGCUUAUCUGUUGUCGGGGUUGUCAUAUGAGUAAAAAUAAUUAAAACUUGAGAUAUUUAUGUUGUCACUCCAGGAAAACUUUGUAUGAUUUAGGUAUGAUUUUUAUAGAUAGAAAAUAAGUUUGAUGUAAAACAAAACAUAUAAAUUACAGACUUACAAAGUGGCUCUGAAAUGAAACCUUAUUAGAUUUAAUGAUAAAAAUAUAUUUCUUAGGCUCAUGAGUGAAUUUGUCUAAAUAAUCAGUUCAGAAUUUUCGAAGAAUUUGUGUCUUCAGGGGAUUGGCACCCUACUUUUGUUUUUUUGCCUUUUGUUCUCAACAUAUGAGAAGGUCAUUCUGAGGUGACAUGCACUUUUGAUGUGUGGACCCCUCCGGGGACGCACGCUCGCAUGAGCCCUAUUUUGUGAUAAGACCACACAUUCCACAUGGUGGUCAAAAUGGUGGAAGCAGUUCGAGUCCUUCGGUGUGUUCCACUGAGUAAGUAUAAAUGGAAUUUAGUUGUGAUCAAUUCCACAAUGGCGCGAAACAUUGUGGGUUUGUUCUUAACCAAGUUUUGGUUCUUUACAGAGUUGACUCCUGCUCGAGGGAAGGGAGCGCUCCGCCAGAAGUCCUAACAGCUUCCAGUGCGGAGCCGGGAUGUUUCUAGAUGUUUCUAGAAGCUUUUGAUGUUUAUAGAAGUUUCAAGAUGUUUCGAAUUUGAAGUUUUAAAAUGAUGCUGUGGGAUCUGUCCCACGUCAUCUGCACUGGCCGGCUCCAACCAGGUUAGCAGUCAGCUUCCCGGGGAUAGGCGAGGUCACUCCCCGCCGCUCCAGGUCCGGUAGCAGUUUUUGAGGUCGGUCCGAUGCAUCUUUAAUUUUUAAAUUGCGUCUGCGCUCGGCUACAAAUUUAAAAUGUGAUUUAGAGCAAUAGUUAUUUUAAUUUAAAGUUUUGAAAGUUCUGGUGCAUAAAACUUAGGUAUUUCGAAAUUUAGUCUUUAGUAAUAAAUUAAUUGGUGUAAACCUUAUAACAUGAACCUGUGAAGCGACCCAGCUAUACCACUGAGCUUUUACAUGAUAAUAUUAGGUUAAUAAAGUUUGUUAGAUA